rnacentral:rRNA from 1 species
GACGAACCAUCCGAACGUUAUUCGGAAUCACUGGGCUUAAAGGGUGCGUAGGCGGCGCGGAAAGUUGGGUGUGAAAUCCCUCGGCUCAACCGAGGAACUGCGCCCAAAACUACCGUGCUCGAGGGAGAUAGAGGAGAGCGGAACUUAGGGUGGAGCGGUGAAAUGCGUUGAUAUCCUAAGGAACACCGGUGGCGAAAGCGGCUCUCUGGAUCUCUUCUGACGCUGAGGCACGAAAGCUAGGGUAGCGAACGGG